rnacentral:rRNA from 1 species
UAGAUACAAGCUAGCGGCGGAUGGGUGAGUAACGCGUGGGAACGUACCUUUUGCUACGGAAUAACUCAGGGAAACUUGUGCUAAUACCGUAUGUGCCCUUCGGGGGAAAGAUUUAUCGGCAAAGGAUCGGCCCGCGUUGGAUUAGCUAGUUGGUGAGGUAAAGGCUCACCAAGGCGACGAUCCAUAGCUGGUCUGAGAGGAUGAUCAGCCACACUGGGACUGAGACACGGCCCAGACUCCUACGGGAGGCAGCAGCG